UGGGGAAUNUGCGCAAUGGGGGGAACCCUGACGCAGCCAUGCCGCGUGAAUGAAGAAGGCCUUUAGGGUUGUAAAGUUCUUUCGGUNUGAGGAAGGUUGAUGUGUUAAUAGCACAUCAAAUUGACGUUAAAUACAGAAGAAGCACCGGCUAACUCCGUGCCAGCAGCCGCGGUAAUACGGAGGGUGCGAGCGUUAAUCGGAAUAACUGGGCGUAAAGGGCACGCAGGCGGUUAUUUAAGUGAGGUGUGAAAGCCCCGGGCUUAACCUGGGAAUUGCAUUUCAGACUGGGUAACUAGAGUACUUUAGGGAGGGGUAGAAUUCCACGUGUAGCGGUGAAAUGCGUAGAGAUGUGGAGGAAUACCGAAGGCGAAGGCAGCCCCUUGGGAAUGUACUGACGCUCAUGUGCGAAAGCGUGGGGAGCAAACAGGAUUAGAUACCCUGGUAGUCCACGCUGUAAACGCUGUCGAUUUGGGGGUUGGGGUUUAACUCUGGCGCCCGUAGCUAACGUGAUAAAUCGACCGCCUGGGGAGUACGGCCGCAAGGUUA
rnacentral:rRNA from 1 species